UACGUAGGGUGCAAGCGUUGUCCGGAAUUAUUGGGCGUAAAGGGCUCGUAGGCGGUCCAUCACGUCGGGAGUGAAAAGCUGGGGCUUAACCCCAGUCCUGCUUCCGAUACGGGUGGACUAGAGGGAGGCAGGGGAGAACGGAAUUCCUGGUGUAGCGGUGAAAUGCGCAGAUAUCAGGAAGAACACCCGUGGCGAAGGCGGCUCUCUAGUACGGUACUGACGCUGAGACGCGAAAGCGUGGGGAGCGAACAGG
rnacentral:rRNA from 1 species